rnacentral:rRNA from 1 species
UACGUAGGGUGCGAGCGUUAAUCGGAAUUACUGGGCGUAAAGCGUGCGCAGGCGGUCUGUUAAGACCGAUGUGAAAUCCCCGGGCUUAACCUGGGAACUGCAUUGGUGACUGGCAGGCUUUGAGUUUGGCAGAGGGAGGUAGAAUUCCACGUGUAGCAGUGAAAUGCGUAGAGAUGUGGAGGAAUGCCGAUGGCGCAGGCAGCCUCCUGGGCCAACACUGACGCUCAUGCACGAAAGCGUGGGGAGCAAACAGG